rnacentral:misc_RNA from 1 species
UUAAGUUCAGCGGGUAUCCCUACCUGAUCCGAGGUCAAACUUGGUAAGUUGGGGUUGCUGGCCAGCGUCCGCCGGGACUCUGUAGCGAGAGGUAUUACUACGCUGAGAGCCAGGGGGCGCCGCCACUGAUUUUAAGGCCCGCCGUGACCGGCUGGGCUCAAGACAAGCAGAGCUUGAGUGUUGUACUGACGCUCGAACAG